rnacentral:lncRNA from 1 species
CUUUUCACAUUUGGUAUUGCAACACCAUCUGGUCUUUUCCUCCCCAUCAUCCUUAUGGGUGCUGCAUAUGGCCGUAUGCUUGGUGCUGCAAUGGGUUCCUACACAAGUAUUGACCAAGGGCUUUAUGCUGUCCUUGGUGCAGCUGCACUCAUGGCUGGAUCGAUGAGAAUGACUGUGUCACUCUGUGUUAUAUUUCUCGAACUCACCAACAACCUUCUUUUGCUUCCCAUUACGAUGAUCGUGCUUCUGAUUGCCAAAACUGUGGGAGACAGCUUCAACCCAAGUAUCUAUGACAUCAUAUUGCAUCUAAAGGGCUUACCUUUCUUAGAAGCAAAUCCAGAACCAUGGAUGAGGAACCUCAGCGUUGGUGAGCUUGGUGAUGCUAAACCCCCAGUUGUAACCCUGCAAGGCGUAGAAAGGGUUUCUAAAAUAGUUGAUGUGCUAAGGAACACGACGCAUAAUGCAUUCCCUGUUUUAGAUGAAGCAGAAGUACCUCAAGUGGGUUUAGCAACCGGGGCAACAGAGCUACACGGGCUAAUCCUGAGAGCACACCUCGUUAAAGUUCUGAAAAAGAGAUGGUUCUUGACAG